UACAGAGGCCCCGAGCGUUAUCCGGAAUCAUUGGGCGUAAAGGGUGUGUAGGUGGCGUUAUUAGUCGUUUGUGAAAGCCCCGGGCUUAACCUGGGAGACGCGGGCGAAACGGUAAUGCUUGAGUGCGUGAGAGGUGAGCGGAACUCAUAGUGUAGGGGUGAAAUCCGUUGAUAUUAUGGGGAACACCAAAAGCGAAGGCAGCUCACUGGCACGACACUGACACUGAAACACGAAAGCGUGGGUAGCGAAUGGG
rnacentral:rRNA from 1 species